UACGUAGGGGGCAAGCGUUGUCCGGAAUCAUUGGGCGUAAAGCGCGCGUAGGCGGCCCGGUAAGUCCGUUGUGAAAGUCAAAGGCUCAACCUUUGAACGCCGAUGGAUACUGCCGGGCUAGAGUCCGGAAGAGGCGAGUGGAAUUCCUGGUGUGGCGGUGGAAUGCGCAGAUAUCAGGAGGAACACCAAUAGCGAAGGCAGCUCGCUGGGACGGUACUGACGCUGAGGCGCGAAAGCGUGGGGAGCGAACAGG
rnacentral:rRNA from 1 species